CGCCUGCGCCGGAGACGCGUGCAGAAGGAAGGGCGCAGGCGCGGCGGGCUGCGCAUGCGCGGCGCGCGGGCGCGACGAUGGCGGCGGCCGGGUUCAACUCUACAGAGAAGAUAAUGAUGACUCUUAUCUCUCGGACACAGAAAAUGACAAUAUAAUGUAGACUUGUUGGAAAAAAAAAUUUCUGUUUUGAAGAUUUUAAUUAUUUUGAGAUCUCGGUGCAGCAGCUUCUCUUAGUGGAUACAUGUAGCCAGCAUCCCCUCCUAAUGAAGCAUCUCUUUACAACAUACGAAGAGCAUCAUAGAAAAUCAUAACUGUGCACAGCGAAGACAGAGACCAGCAUUUCAUGGGGGACUCAGUCCCAGUAGCCACAUCUCCAUUACAGCUUCUGCAUCUAUGGCUUGGGAAACAUCACUGAAGAGGGGCUGGAAAGACUCGAAGAGUCAGAACACAAUGAAGCCUAUUCUGAAGGUUUCUUCUACAAAGUGUUGUAUAAAGGAGCCCAGAAACAUCGGUGGCAAUAUCAUGUUGACAUGGAAGGGGGAAAGUUUCACCUGGUUUCACCCCAAGAAAAAAAAUCACAGUUGGAGACCUGCACCAGGAGAAGCCUUUUUUUUCCCCCCUAAAUGGAAACCCUUGAGGAGAAAGCCACGGGAGAGAAACAUCGAACCUUGCUCUGCCAAGGUCCCGUGGAACUGAGAAGAGGCUGGAGAAGGAAGAAACAACACCUCUCCUUGUUCAGUGAUGUGUUGGUUGUGUCUGACAACCUGCGUAAGAGAAAGUUCAAGACCAAACAUGUCAUCCCCCUGAGUUACCUGUGGAUGGGUGACUCUGUGGACAUAGUCGGGAGAGACAGCAGCUCUGCUUGCAAGUCCAUUCUCCUGUCCUGGCCCAUGGGAAAUUUUGUGGCCACCUUUCGUUCUAUGGAACAGAAAGAUCGGUGGUAUUGUUUUCUCCAAAGAUCCAUUAAUGACGCCACAGAGGGCUACAGGAAGCAUUUUAAACUCCCGAUAUUCACUGAGGAUAUCCCAAACUGUGCCAGUCCUUUAUAUAUAACAACAACAGACUUGGAGACAGUCAAUGACAUCAUCCAGAAGUUACUCCCCAUGAUAGGAAUGCCUAGUGCUCAAGGUUACCAACUGUGGUUCUGUCGUGGCUAUGAGAAAGCCCCAGGCCUACUCCAAGAGCAUGAGCAUCCCUAUGACAUUAUAAUGAGGAACAGCCUAAAUACCUUCAAUCGAAGGGAAUCAAGAAAUUUCACAGCUUUUCCUGCCCUGCCUGGGCUGUAUGUGGAACAACCAGAUAUACAGGGACGAUUCAUCCUAAAGCCCAGAGAAGCAGCAAGAAGUCAGAAGCAGAGCAAUACAGAGGAGCCAAGAGCUACGAAAAGAUGGCCUUUCAUAUCUCGGUGGUUCCACAGGGGCUCUGUGCUUCACCAGGACCAACUGUGCACAGCCCUGCCAGUUGCUAAGACAGGAAAACUCUUUGGAAAUGAUCUGACUGCCAUUUGUGAAGAUGGCAAUCUGCCCACAGCAAUUCUGGACAUCCUAUCCUUUAUUAGUGAAAAAGGGCCGAUCACGAAAGGCAUCUUCAGAACAUCAGGUGAUAUAAGGGCAUUCCGAGCCCUAAAAGAAAGACUGGAUUCUGGGACAGAAGUGAACUUGAACAACGAAAGUGUCCCUGUGGUGGCAUCUAUCUUAAAGGAAUUUCUUCAAAAUAUACCAGGCAGUGUGCUGACGUCUGGACUGUAUGAUGAAUGGCUCGGUGUCCCUGACCAAGAGUGUGAAGAGAAGAAAGUAGCUGCAGCACAGAGUCUUUUAGAGCAAAUACCCCAACCGAAUGCCUUUCUUUUGAAAACACUUUUCGGGAUAUUAUACAAAAUUGAGCAAAACUCUGAACUCAACCAUAUGACAUCAUCAAAUUUAGCUGUUUGCAUUGCCCUGAGUAUUCUAUGCCUGCCUGCUUCCAGCAACUCGGAACUGCCAGAUGUCUCCAGAAAGAUUUCUCUGGUCAGUUUCCUAACUGAGAAUUAUCCAAAAAUAUUUGGAGAAGGCAUUCCGGUUCAUCACGAGAGUCCAUCGGUUUGCUCUGAUGGGGAGAACACUUACAAUGCCCUUAACACUCAGACUGACAAAAUUGUGAUGGAAGGAAGUGAGCGUGAAGAAGACCCCCGCCCCAGUGGCAGCACGUGCCCCACAGGCAAUGAUGUAUAGCCCAGAAGUCCAACUGCUCCUUGUCACAAUGAGGAAUUAGAGGAUAAGAAGGAAAUACUGGCCGGGCAGUGGUGGCGCACGCCUUUAAUCCCAGCACUUGGGAGGCAGAGGCAGGUGGAUCUUUGUGAGUUCGAGAUCAGCCUGGUCUACAAGAGCUAGUUCCAGGACAGGCUCCAAAACCACAGAGAAACACUGCCUCGGAAAAAAAAAAAAAAAGAAGGAAAUACUGGUCAGUAGUUAAUCACCUAAUAGUCAAACUUGUAGUCAUAUUAGGUAUGUUUUCAAGGUCAAAAAAGAUUGAUUUUAUAUAGCUCAUUUAUAUAAUUCUAGAGAAUAUGGCAUUUAAGGAUGAUGUAAUAACCUAUGAGCUUCUUUUUAUGACCGUGAGACAUGUCUGCUCCUGGCAGCACCAAUCUACUUCAGGGAAGAUAAUGGGCAUCAAAGAAGUUACACAUGGAAUUUACAUUCUUUGUGGCAAAAUCAAGCCCCUGGGCAAGAAAAUGGCUUUGUCUUGACUGCUGAUACUAUGCACGUUGUGCUGUCAGACCAGACAAGUAGGACACUGAAGAGAGUGACUGCCAAAUAUUGCCAAGUCAAGGAGGGGCAGUCCUUCAAAAUGUCCUGCUUCACAGAGAGAUCUGUUAGAUAUUCUGGGCCUGUAGGCCAUGGAGAGAGAUGGCCCAGUGUUGCAGAGGAACUUUGGGUGACUGUCCAGGCAGCUAGCUGUUUCUGUCAUUACUCACAGUUUUUGAAAGUUGUUUGCUUACACUCCCUGCUUAUUCAGUCAAUAUUCUUGGGUCUCUGAGGAAAUUGAAAACUUGAUAGUUAUAGUUUUCCUUUUUACCUGAUGCAGGACUCAAGUUAUGAUAGAAGGUAAAUCGGGUAUACGAUUUUUGGACUCACCAAAAUAGAAUAGAUAUGGAGUAAUUUCUCUAAAUUUGUCAAAUGCAUGUGGACUAGCCAUUGUUGAUAUAUUUAUUGAUAUAUAUAUAUGAUGUAGUUAUUAUACUUAUCAUAUAUAGUUUUUCUUAUAUUAGUUAUUGCCUUUUUAAUUUUAGACAAAAAGAGGUAAUGUAGUAGCAUUUCACUUGUAUUUUAAUAAAGAAAGCUUGCCUGAAAUUCAGAGAGUAAAACAAUCCCACUGAUCAGCCUUACAGACCAGGAAGUGGUAACACACACCAUUAGACACCAUUAGUGCCAGUAGCUACACUAGUUUACCAUAGGAACAGGGUGGUAUAUGCCUUUAAUCCCAGUGGUGCAUGCCUUUAAUCUCAUUGAUGAAUGAUUUUGACCCAGUCUGAGAGACGAUUAUAAAAUUGGGGGAGACAGCUCUCAUGUUUUUAUCUCAUUCUGAGAUUCUCGGAAGCAGGAUCGCCAUUUAAGAAUGAUGCCGAGGUAAGAGCCAGUGGCUAGGGGUUUUACUUUUCUGACCUUCAGGUUGAACCCGAAUUUCUCUCUAUGAGUUUCUUUUAAUUUUGCUUCAAGAGGUAUUUCAGGGGAUCUACGGCAAUUAAACCUGAUUUUUCUUACCCAGAGUGAAUCCACAGCCUGUCAUUUCCUGUGGAAGCAAACACAUAACCUCUCCCCCAAAGUAACAUAUCUUUUGACUUAAAUUUUUAAGUCAAGAUAAUUUUAAAAUAUAUACGUUGGUUUAAUAUAGCUGUUUUCAUAACCCAAGGUCUCUUAGAAGCCAAAAAAACUUAAAGACAGCAGAAUAAUUUGCACAAUCCAGAUUAUGUAUCUGUGCAUUUUCCAUCUUCAUGUGUGUUAUUAUAUAUUUUAUUACUCUGUUCCAUUUUAAGGACUUUCCUUACCCAUUUUCUUUUCCCUCCAAGGCCAACAUAUAUUUUUAAACAGACUGUAAUCUAUGUGUAGAGGGUUUUUCUUUUGCCUGAAUGAAUCCUUACAGCUCAUCUGUAACCUUUUCUAUCUGCAUGAGCAAAAACCAAAACAGAACAAAACAAACGUACUAGUAAUUUAUACCAUGUCGAUUCCCUGAGAGUCUGGUCUCAUGGCAGAGGCUUAUUUAUCCCCAGCUCUGAGAGCCAUGUUUACCGCCCCAACUCUGGAAAGUUUCUAGUUUCAUGCCCACAGCAAGAAGAAUGCUGCUCAGAAACACCAUAAAAGUAUUUGGUGGCAGGACCUCUUAAAAAAGCUGCCUGGUUUUGCAGCUAGCAUGGAGCCUGAGGGCUGCAUUUUAAAGGAGCUGUGCCUCUCCUCACUGCCAACAAACAGAGCCCACUGGAGAAAAGGCAGCUACCGAGAGCACACACUUGACGCCAUUCUUGUGUGUGUAGAAUCACUUUUUAAACUUUAUCAUGUUUUAUGUGGAAAUACAGAGUACAUGUUGGAACGCCAAAUGUAUCUGGUUGUUUCCUGUCCCUACUGCCUGUUCCCAAAUACCCAGCAACUCCUUCUCAAAUUAAUACACAGAGGCUUAUAUUAAUUAUAAAUGCUGUCUGGUGGCUCAGGCUUGUUACUAUCAAAUUCUUAAAACCUAAAUUAUCUCGUUUCUAUUAAUCUACAUAUUGCCAAGUGGCUGGUGGCUUUACAUACCCUCUAUCAUGCCAUGCUCCCUCUUCUCUCUCUGUCCUCCUUCUUCCCAACAUUCUCAGUUUGGUUUUCCACCUAACUGCUUGCCCAACUACCGGCCUGGCAGUUUAAUUCACCAGAGAGAGUAAUACAUAGUCAUAGUGUAGGAAAGGAUUGCUGCACAGUAUACACCUGAAAGGAAACUCUGCCACCCCGAAUUGCAGCAAACGAGGAACACCUCACUGCAAAUUCUAACAUCCAGUGACCACUCAUCAAGAGAGCUCCUCGGAACAUCUCUCCUGAGAGUUUGUGAGGAUGGGAAUCCGCCUACCCCAAUACUGGACAUGCUCUCUAUUACUGAUGAAAAGGGAUCCUAUGUGGAGAAAAUCUUCAGAACGAUAGCCAACAAAUCCUUCUGAAAUCUCAAAGAAAAGCUUUGUACUGUUGAUGAAGUAAGCUUGACAGUGAGCAACAGAACAACUUCUGCAUCCAGUACCAUGGAAGGCCACAGUGCUCUACAGAACCGGAAACUGGAGGAUGAAGACCGAAUCAGCACCUGGAUUGGCCAUACUAUCUUCCUGCCCAUGAUUUUCUCAGUAACUGGAGACUUGACUCCUCAGAAUUCCACUGGGCUACAUCCAUCACUUUCUAUUUUUGGAAAACACUUAGAGCCUUUAACAGAAUUUGUUUGAAUCUUCUGCUUUUGUCCAGAAAUGAAAAUUCUUUUCAAAGAUCUUGAACAUCACCAUUAACCAGCAGAGAAACCUAGAGGGCUGCUCUUAAGAGUAUGGAUUUAGUCUUGAGUAAGAACUUCUCAGGUUCCAACUCAUUCCAUUUGAUGGCUCUUUGCCACCUUCCACUUAUCCAUAGGUCAGAAAAGCUUAUUAUAUGACAUUCUUUCUGUUCAUCUAUUUUACCUUAUGGUAUCAGUUACAAAUAUUUUUCACUUACAUUAAUUUUAUGCUGUAUAUUACACUUUCUUUAUUGUUUUAAUAAAUGUCAUUCAAUAAUUUCA